rnacentral:tRNA from 1 species
GCGCCUGUAGCUCAACUGGAUAGAGCAUCUGGCUUCGGACCAGAGGGUUGCAGGUUCAACUCCUGCCAGGCGCG